CACGUAGGGUGCGAGCGUUGUCCGGAAUUAUUGGGCGUAAAGGGCUCGUAGGCGGUUUGUUGCGUCGGCUGUGAAAUCCCGAGGCUCAACCUCGGGUCUGCAGUCGAUACGAGCAAACUAGAGUGUUGCAGGGGGAGACUGGAAUUCCUGGUGUAGCGGUGGAAUGCGUAGAGAUCGGGAAGAAUACCCGUGGCGAAGGCGGCCAGCUGGGCCAGGUCCGACACUGAGGCGCGAAAGCGUGGGGAGCAAACAGG
rnacentral:rRNA from 1 species